UCAGGCAUGGCGCGUCCACCGAUUCCUCCUCCCUGGUCGCCGCGUCCCUGGCUGGCGUGAGGAAAAAUGUCAACAAACUUCCUAGCAGUACAUUUGAAGAUCUCGUUCGACAUGUUUAAAUAUGACGAUACAGAAAAGAGAUUCUACGAGCAAAUUAACUGCCCCGUGGCUGGUGCCUCCCGCCAGGAGACUAGCACUAGCGUGAUCCUCCGUGAUAUCGCGAGACCCGGACAGCCCAUCCAGAAAUCCCUGACCGGAAGUUCAGGCCCCCAGGCCUCCAGCGGCCCCGGGGAGAGCGCAGCGGACUCGUUGUCCGGAUUGCCAGGCUGGAAGUGGAGCACCAGAGCCUGCGCUGCAUGGUGCAGGAGCUGCGGCAGACCGUCUGCAAGCUGGAGGCCCGGCUGAACGUGCUGGAGAAGAGCUCGCCCGGCCACCUGGCCACAGCCCCGCAGACCCAGCACGUUUCUCCUCUGUUCCAAGUGGUACCCCCACCCAAGAAGCCAGCCACACCAGCAGAGGAUGACGGGGACGAUGACAUUGACCUAUUUGGCAGCGACAAUGAGGAGGAGGAGAAAGAGGUAGCUCAGCUGCGGGAGGAGUGGCUGCGGCAGUACCCGGAGAAGGCCGAGAAGCCGGCACUGGUGGCCAAGUCCUCCAUCCUGCUGGACGUCAAGCCUUGGGACCAUGAGACGAACAUGGCCUCGCUGGGGACCUGUGUGCGCUCCAUCCAGCUGGAGAGGCUGGUCUGGGAGUGCCUCCAAGGUGGUGCCUGUGGGCUACAGUAUCCGGAAGCUGCAGAUUCAGUGUGUGGUGGAGGACGACAAGGUGGGGACAGACUUGCUGGAGGAGGAGGAGGAGAUCACCAAGGAGCACGUGCAGGGUGUCGACGUCGCAGGUUUCAACAAGAUCUGAAGCCUGAGUGUGUGCGUGUAUGUGCGCGUUGUG